rnacentral:rRNA from 1 species
AUUGAACGCUGGCGGCAUGCUUUACACAUGCAAGUCGAACGGUAACAGGCCGCAAGGUGCUGACGAGUGGCGAACGGGUGAGUAAUGCAUCGGAACGUGCCCAGUCGUGGGGGAUAACGCAGCGAAAGCUGCGCUAAUACCGCAUACGAUCUAUGGAUGAAAGCGGGGGACCGUAAGGCCUCGCGCGAUUGGAGCGGGCGAUGUCAGAUUAGGUAGUUGGGAGGGUAAAAGCUCACCAAGCCGACGAUCUGUAGCUGGUCUGAGAGGACGACCAGCCACACUGGGACUGAGACACGGCCCAGACUCCUACGGGAGGCAGCAGUGGGGAAUUUUGGACAAUGGGGGCAACCCUGAUCCAGCAAUGCCGCGUGCAGGAAGAAGGCCUUCGGGUUGUAAACUGCUUUUGUACGGAACGAAACGGCUCUGGUUAAUACCUGGGGCUAAUGACGGUACCGUAAGAAUAAGCACCGGCUAACUACGUGCCAGCCGCCGCGGUAACAC